AUUGAACGCUGGCGGCAGGCCUAACACAUGCAAGUAGAGCGAGCGGCGGACGGGUGAGUAAUGCCUGGGAAUUGCCCAGUCGAGGGGGAUAACAGUUGGAAACGACUGCUAAUACCGCAUACGAUUGGAUUGCCCAGGUGGGAUUCGCUAGUUGGUGAGGUAAUGUCUCACCCAGGCGACGAUCCCUAGCUGGUCUGAGAGGAUGAUCAGCCACACUGGACCCUAGACACGGUGCAGACUCCGACGGGAGGCAGCAGUGGGGAAUAUUGCACAAGGGGGGAAACCCGGAUGCAGCGAUGCCGCGUGUGUGAUGAAGGCCUUCGGGUUGUAAAGCACUUUCAGCGAGGAGGCGUUACUCGCAGAAGAAGCACCGGCUAACUCCGUGCCAGCAGCCGCGGGAAUAC
rnacentral:rRNA from 1 species